rnacentral:rRNA from 1 species
GUCUACGGCCACGCCACCCUGAACACGCCCGAUCCCGUCUGCUCUCGGAAGCUAAGCAGGGUCGGGCCUGGUUAAUACUUGGAUGGGAGACCACGGAGGAAGACCAGGUGCUGUAGGCG